rnacentral:rRNA from 1 species
GGGCAACCUGGCGGCGAGUGGCGAACGGGUGAGUAAUAUAUCGGAACGUACCCAAGAGUGGGGGAUAACGUAGCGAAAGUUACGCUAAUACCGCAUACGAUCUAAGGAUGAAAGCAGGGGAUCUUCGGACCUUGUGCUCCUGGAGCGGCCGAUAUCUGAUUAGCUAGUUGGUGAGGUAAAGGCUCACCAAGGCCACGAUCAGUAGCUGGUCUGAGAGGACGACCAGCCACACUGGAACUGAGACACGGUCCAGACUCCUACGGGAGGCAGCAGUGGGGAAUUUUGGACAAUGGGCGAAAGCCUGAUCCAGCAAUGCCGCGUGAGUGAAGAAGGCCUUCGGGUUGUAAAGCUCUUUUGUCAGGGAAGAAACGGUGAAGGCUAAUAUCCUUCGCUAAUGACGGUACCUGAAGAAUAAGCACCGGCUAACUACGUGCCAGCAGCCGCGGUAAUACGUAGGGUGCAAGCGUUAAUCGGAAUUACUGGGCGUAAAGCGUGCGCAGGCGGUUUUGUAAGUCUGACGUGAAAUCCCCGGGCUCAACCUGGGAAUUGCGUUGGAGACUGCAAGGCUAGAAUCUGGCAGAGGGGGGUAGAAUUCCACGUGUAGCAGUGAAAUGCGUAGAGAUGUGGAGGAACACCGAUGGC